AUGACGCUCCUAAGUUGGAACUGUCGAGGUCUCGGGCAGCCUUGUACAGUUCAGGAACUCGUGUGCCUUGUGCACACCUACAAGCCCAAGCUCGUCUUCCUCUCUGAAACGCGGCAGAAUAGUAAGUAUGUCAAGAACCUAAAGUGGAGGCUGGGCCUCGGUCAUUGUAUUGCGCAACCUGGUAUCGGAAAAGGUGCCGGCAUUGCCCUCUUUUAUGAUGAGAGUGUGGAAAUAAAAAAGAUUGCCGUGGGGGCGAGAUAA
rnacentral:rRNA from 1 species